GAUGAACGCUGGCGGCGUGCUUAACACAUGCAAGUCGAACGGAAAGGCCCAAGCUUGCUUGGGUACUCGAGUGGCGAACGGGUGAGUAACACGUGGGUGAUCUGCCCUGCACUUCGGGAUAAGCCUGGGAAACUGGGUCUAAUACCGGAUAGGACGAUGGUUUGGAUGCCAUUGUGGAAAGUUUUUUCGGUGUGGGAUGAGCUCGCGGCCUAUCAGCUUGUUGGUGGGGUAAUGGCCUACCAAGGCGUCGACGGGUAGCCGGCCUGAGAGGGUGUACGGCCACAUUGGGACUGAGAUACGGCCCAGACUCCUACGGGAGGCAGCAGUGGGGAAUAUUGCACAAUGGGCGCAAGUCUGAUGCAGCGACGCCGCGUGGGGGAUGACGGCCUUCGGGUUGUAAACUCCUUUCGCUAGGGACGAAGCGUUUUUGUGACGGUACCUGGAGAAGAAGCACCGGCUAACUACGUG
rnacentral:rRNA from 1 species